GGCCUGAUGGUCUAGUGGUAAGAUACUUGCUUUGGGAACUCCACUGGGAUUCGAACCCCAGAGUUCACAUGAUUGCAAGGGAUCCCGGGUUCGAUCCCCGGUCGGGCCC